CGCCCUCAGAGGGGGACAACAGUUGGAAACGACUGCUAAUACUGCAUACGAUCUAACCUCGGCAUCGAGGAUGGAUGAAAGGUGGCCUCUAUUUAUAAGCUAUCACUGAAGGAGGGGAUUGCGUCUGAUUAGCUAGUUGGAGGGGUAACGGCCCACCAAGGCGAUGAUCAGUAGCCGGUCUGAGAGGAUGAACGGCCACAUUGGGACUGAGACACGGCCCAG
rnacentral:rRNA from 1 species